rnacentral:rRNA from 1 species
UUGCGGUUAAAAAGCUCGUAGUUGGAUCUCGGCAAGUAGAGGGCGGUAUGCUUCGUAGCAUUACUGCCCUAUUACUUGUAGUUUUGCCAGAGGUUCCUGGGUGCUCUUAAUCGAGUGUCUAGGGAUGCUGGCAGGUUUACUUUGAAAAAAUUAGAGUGCUCAAAGCAGGCUACUACGCUUGAAUAUUCGUGCAUGGAAUAAUAGAAUAGGAAGUUGUUUCUAUUUUGUUGGUUUUCGGAAAUCGACUUAAUGAUUAAUAGGGACAGUCGGGGGCAUUUGUAUUCAAACGACAGAGGUGAAAUUCUUGGACCGUUUGAAGACAAACUACUGCGAAAGCAUUUGCCAAGAAUGUUUUCAUUAAUCAAGAACGAAAGUUAGAGGUUCGAAGGCGAUUAGAUACCGCCCUAGUUCUAACCAUAAACGAUGCCAGCUAGCGAUCUGAGGACGUUUUUUUUGUAGACUCCUCAGGAAGCUUCCGGGAAACCAAAGCGUGUGGGUUCCGGGGGAAGUAUGGUUGCAAAGCUGAAACUUAAAGGAAUUGACGGAAGGGCACCACCAGGAGUGGAGCCUGCGGCUUAAUUUGACUCAACACGGGAAAUCUCACCAGGCCCGGACACUGGAAGGAUUGACAGAUUGAGAGCUCUUUCUCGAUUCGGUGGGUGGUGGUGCAUG